ACGAACGCUGGCGGCGUGCUUAACACAUGCAAGUCGAACGGAAAGGCCCUGCUUUUGUGGGGUGCUCGAGUGGCGAACGGGUGAGUAACACGUGAGUAACCUGCCCUUGACUUUGGGAUAACUUCAGGAAACUGGGGCUAAUACCGGAUAGGAGCUCCUGCUGCAUGGUGGGGGUUGGAAAGUUUCGGCGGUUGGGGAUGGACUCGCGGCUUAUCAGCUUGUUGGUGGGGUAGUGGCUUACCAAGGCUUUGACGGGUAGCCGGCCUUGGGGGGGGACCGGGCCCCAUGGGGACGAGAAUCCGCCCCGGACCCCUCGGGGGGGCAGGGGGGGGGAGUUUUGCCAAAGGGGGGGACGCCUGAGGGAGCACCCCGGGGUGGGGGAGGCGGGCUUUCGGGUGGGAACCCGUUUCCGCCUGGGACGAAGGGUGGGGGCCGGAAAUGGGGAAAAAAACCCCGCCAACUUCCGG
rnacentral:rRNA from 1 species